rnacentral:rRNA from 1 species
UAGGGAAUUUUCGUCAAUGGGGGGAACCCUGAACGAGCAAUACCGCGUGUGUGAAGAAGGUCUUCGGAUCGUAAAGCACUGUUGUAAGUGAAGAAUGCCAUAUAGAGGAAAUGCUAUGUGGGUGACGGUAGCUUACCAGAAAGCCACGGCUAACUACGUGCCAGCAGCCGCGGUAAUACGUAGGUGGCAAGCGUUAUCCGGAAUCAUUGGGCGUAAAGGGUGCGUAGGUGGCACGAUAAGUCUGAAGUAAAAGGCAACAGCUCAACUGCUGUAUGCUUUGGAAACUGUCGAGCUAGAGUGCAGAAGAGGGCGAUGGAAUUCCAUGUGUAGCGGUAAAAUGCGUAGAUAUAUGGAGGAACACCAGUGGCGAAGGCGGUCGCCUGGUCUGUAACUGACACUGAUGCACGAAAGCGUGGGGAGCAAAUAGGAUUAGAUACC